CCCAGAGUUACUUGAUAUGUUUCUUAAUUGGGGUGGUGUACCUCACUUACAAGUCAGGAGAUCAGUGUCAAGUGAAAGUGGAUGAGAGAUGAAGAAGAGAUGAAAGCGCAGAGGGUUUGGAUUUCAAAGUGAACCCAACUGAUGGAUGAGAUUUGAUUAAAAAGAAAGCUGUGUCACAGUAAUAGGAUACAACAGGAAAAUUUGCAUUUAAAUUGUAUAAUUUGAGUUCAUUAUUAAGAAGAAAAACAUUGUUACACAUGAAUCAAACUGUCAUAUCUACAUCAGUGUGGAAGGGCCUUAAGGGACUCUACAUAAAGUUUUAAAAAAAAUCAAGAUGCAGUUAAAUGGAUAACAAACAAACAAGUAAACAAAA